UACGUAGGGGGCGAGCGUUGUCCGGAUUUAUUGGGCGUAAAGAGCUCGUAGGCGGUUCGAUAAGUCGGAUGUGAAAUCUCCACGCUCAACGUGGAGGGGCCAUUCGAUACUGUCGUGACUCGAGUCCGGUAGGGGAGUGUGGAAUUCCAGGUGUAGCGGUGAAAUGCGUAGAUAUCUGGAGGAACACCGGUGGCGAAGGCGGCAUCCUGGACCAACACUGACGCUGAGUGAGCGAAAGCCAGGGGAGCAAACGGG
rnacentral:rRNA from 1 species